rnacentral:rRNA from 1 species
UACGUAGGGUGCAAGCGUUAAUCGGAAUUACUGGGCGUAAAGCGUGCGCAGGCGGUUGUGCAAGACAGAUGUGAAAUCCCCCGGGCUUAACCUGGGAAUUGCAUUUGUGACUGCACGGCUAGAGUGUGUCAGAGGGGGGUAGAAUUCCACGUGUAGCAGUGAAAUGCGUAGAGAUGUGGAGGAAUACCGAUGGCGAAGGCAGCCCCCUGGGAUAACACUGACGCUCAUGCACGAAAGCGUGGGGAGCAAACAGG